UCGCUGGUAGUCCAAUGGUUAAGACUCUGCGUUUCCACUGCAGGGGCUGCAGGUUUGAUCCCUGUUCAGGAAA
rnacentral:tRNA from 1 species